AUUGAACGCUGGCGGCAGGCCUAACACAUGCAAGUCGAGCGGAUGAAGGGAGCUUGCUCCUGGAUUCAGCGGCGGACGGGUGAGUAAUGCCUAGGAAUCUGCCUGGUAGUGGGGGAUAACGUCCGGAAACGGGCGCUAAUACCGCAUACGUCCUGAGGGAGAAAGUGGGGGAUCUUCGGACCUCACGCUAUCAGAUGAGCCUAGGUCGGAUUAGCUAGUUGGUGGGGUAAAGGCCUACCAAGUCGACGAUCCGUAACUGGUCUGAGAGGAUGAUCAGCCACACUGGAGCUGAGACACGGUCCAGACUCCUACGGGAGGGAGCAGUGGGGAAUAUUGGACAAUGGGCGAAAGCCUGAUCCAGCCAUGCCGCGUGUGUUAAGAAGGUCUUCGGAGUGUAAAGCACUUUAAGUUGGGAGGAAGGGCAGUAAGUUAAUACCUUGCUGGUUUGACGUUACCAACAGAAUAAGCACCGGCUAACUUCGUG
rnacentral:rRNA from 1 species